rnacentral:rRNA from 1 species
CAGCAGCCGCGGUAAUACGGAGGGAGCUAGCGUUGUUCGGAAUUGCUGGGCGUAAAGCGCGCGUAGGCGGUUACUCAAGUCAGAGGUGAAAGCCCGGGGCUCAACCCCGGAACUGCCUUUGAAACUAGGUGACUAGAAUCUUGGAGAGGUCAGUGGAAUUCCGAGUGUAGAGGUGAAAUUCGUAGAUAUUCGGAAGAACACCAGUGGCGAAGGCGACUGACUGGACAAGUAUUGACGCUGAGGUGCGAAAGCGUGGGGAGCAAACAGGAUUAGAUACCCCCGUAGUCCCUGUCUCUUAUAC